CGCCGACCUUCUUUCUCUACCUUGAAAGGAUUAGUAUUAAAGGAAUCUGAUCAAAUAAAAAGUUUCUUAGAGAAUUAUUACUCUGUACUAUUAUUAUCAUUAUUAUUAUUAUUAUUAUUAUCAGAGAACGCAUAUAUACAUAAAAAUUGAGAGUACAGACAAUGUAUAGGAAACAGACCCGAACGGUUAAACCAUCCAUGAGUUUCUUCAAUCUAAAAACCGUUUAAAGACUUUUAUAUUAGAAUUUAAAUGAUAAAAUACAGAAAGUAUAACUAAUUACAGCAUUUGAUAUCCGCUGAAAUGAUAAAGAUAUUCCUGGUUAGUGAGGAAGCUGUAAGGAUGAUGAAAAAUCCAAAUAGAUAAUAUUACAAAAUGGAUAGCAGGAGCACAUUGAUGAUGAAGAUGGAAAAAAUAAAAUUGGUGGUUAGAGGACCAAAAAGUAAAUGAUUCGACGCCAAUGGUUUGCACCUUACGCAACUUAACUCAAAGCUGUGGACGAUUCCAAAACUGGAUAUACAAGUCCUGUGAUAGCCUAGAAAGUAUACACAAGUCAGAUUGUAUCAGUGGUCGUCACAUCUCUACUUCCAUCAUCAGACAAGAUAUAUCCAUUAGAAGACGAUUUAUUUUUAAUUUUAUUAAAAAAUUUUACUGUAAAUUCAUUAAAAAAUAUAAGUAAUUAUAUUUACUCAGUACUGAAAAAUAAAAAUGAAUUGUACGCAUAGACGUGUAGCUCAGAAAAAAUAACCCGCAUCAAACACCUGUCAUAGUUACUGAUGCAUGCAACAAAAAAUAUGGGUUGAUUGUCCAUAAAAAAAAAAUAAAUUAAUUAAUAAAAAAUGAUGAUGAUAAUAAUAAUUAUUAAGCCGAGGAUUCUAUUUUUCUAUAUACUUUGAUUGCAGCACCGUGACUUACGGUACAACGUCCGCGCUCUGACGAUGACUACAUCCCUAUAUAAUACUGGAGCAAUAAACUUGGAACUGGUCAGAAAAUAUCAUUACUCCAAUAAUCCCUUGGUGCACUUGUCUCGUCGGCUGUGUCAUGUUUAAAAAGCAUCAAUUGCUUACGACCAAUGGGAACAAAAAGAUGAAAGAGCAACAGGUGACCGUCCAAUAGCUGGUUGAAUCCAAAACCAACACCAGUGUUACUCACCAGUAUAUACAUCGGAUUUUCACCUUUAUAUGUGUAGUAUUAUAUACGUGGAUGGAUAAUACAUUACUACAUCGACGGAUUUUACCAUCAUGUAAACUGAAUUUCAUUACAGUAUACUAACAAACAUCUAGAUACUCCACACGCAACAAUUUUACCAGAUAUAUGUGUGUAUAUUGCGUUAUAUUGUGUAUAUAUAUUUAUAUAUAUAUUCGUUUAUUCAAGUUCAAGUUGAUUGUCUUACUCAUCUUUCACCGUCAUACAUGUAUAUAGAUAAAUAGUGGAAAUGAAAAAAUAAACAAGACGUAUAAAGUGAUCGUUCAAAGUCUAGACGUUCAGACGUAGUAUUGAGAAGGGAUGUAGAAAAGUGGAGGGAUGAUGAAGAACCAAAUAGUAGAAAGGGGAAGGGGAAAAGAGUGUCGACUUGUUGUACCUAUAGCAACCUAUAGAGUAGAGAGAACUGGACAACUAUACACGAUACACGAGUGGAGGGUCUGAACACCUGGCUUACCUGGAGUAUAGACACUAAUACACUCUAUAAAUACCUAUAGAUUAUUCACACAUAGACACAUAGACACGUAGACACGUAAAAACUCACCUUUCCCUUUGAUUCUCCUACCUGGGCCUGCAUUUUACAGUUGUAUUGCUCAUUGUCCACUAAAGAAACUACCAAACCCCUAAAAUUUUUAAACUCAAUAAUAUUUUUGUAUUUCAUUAUUUUAUUACGCUUGGAAAAAUCUAAAAAGUACAAGUGGAUUUU